GACGAACGCUGGCGGCGUGCUUAACACAUGCAAGUCGAACGGAAAGGCCCUGCUUUUGGGGGCGGCUCGAGUGGCGAACGGGUGAGAAGCACGUGGGUGACCGGCCCAUGACUGUGGGAUAACGGCAGGAAACGCGGGCUAAUACCGGAUAGGAGCUCCUGCGGCAUUGUGGGGGUGGGAAAGUUUCGGCGGGUGGGGAUGGACUCGCGGCCUAUCAGCUUGUUGGUGGGGUAGUGGCUUACCAAGGCUUUGACGGGUAGCCGGCCUGAGAGGGUGACCGGCCAAAUUGGGACUGAGAUACGGCACAGCCUCCUACGGGAGGCAGCAGUGGGGAAUAUUGCACAAUGGGAGGAAGCCUGAUGUAGCCACGCAGCGUGCGGGAUGACGGCAUUCGCGUUGUAAACCGCUUUCGCCUGUGACGAAGCGUGAGUGACGGUAAUGGGUAAAGAAGCACCGGCUAACUACGUG
rnacentral:rRNA from 1 species